AGAGUUUGAUCCUGGCUCAGAACGAACGCUGGCGGCGUGGAUAAGACAUGCAAGUCGAACGCUAAUCAUUUUGCAGCAAUGUAGAAUGGUUGGAGUGGCGCAAGGGUGCGUAACACGUGGGUAAUUUGCCGUGAGGACUGGGAUAACUUGCUGAAAGGCGAGCUAAUACCGGAUGUGGAGAUUGGAAGGCAUCUUCUGAUUUCUGAAGUUGGGGACCGAAAGGCCUGACGUUUCACGAUAAGCCCGCGGCCUAUCAGCUAGUUGGUGAGGUAACGGCUCACCAAGGCGAAGACGGGUAGCUGGUCUGAGAGGACGACCAGCCACACUGGAACUGAGAGACGGUCCAGACACCUACGGGUGGCAGCAGUCGAGAAUUUUUCUCAAUGGGGGAAACCCUGAAGGAGCGACGCCGCGUGGGGGAUGAAUGGCUUCGGCCCGUAAACCCCUGUCAUUUGCGAACAAUGUGUACUAUUUAAAAGAUGGUGCAUUGAUAGUAGCGAAAGAGGAAGGGACGGCUAACUCUGUGCCAGCAGCCGCGGUAAUAC
rnacentral:rRNA from 1 species